ensembl:lncRNA
GGACUGCGGAGCGCGGCCCGGCGCUGGCGGCGGAGGUGGAGGCGGCGGAGCGCAGCAUCGUGCGGCUGAGCCGGGAGGUGCGGGGCCGCCCGGGAGUGCGGGGCCCACUCGCCCCGUCGGGGCUCACUGCUUUCCGUCCCCGUUGCAGAUCGCCCACCUCAACCGCGAGGUUUCGCAGCUCGGCCGGGAGCUGCAGCGCGUGCUGGAGCUGCUCCAGGGCCGCCCGCCGCCCCCCGCGUGUCCUCGUCGUCCGCCCGGAGCCUCGUCGCCGCCCCCCCGGCCCCCGCCGGCCCCCACCGCCUCCCGGGGCUCCACCCCCGCCCGCAGCCGCUCUGUUCCCGCAGCCUCCGGCGGCCCGGGGCUGGGCACGGAAGCACCGCGCCCGCCGUCCCCCGCCGCCCCGCAGCCCGCGCCGCGCCCGCCCCGUCCCGUCCCGCAGUCCCCGACCCCGCCGCCCGCGGUGCCGCCUCGUUUCGCCCAAUCCUUCCCGGGCUGCUCGGCCCGCGCCCGCCCGCAGCCCCGCUCCGGAUCCGCCAGCGCCCGCUGAGCCUCGGGAGGGCGGAGGCACCGGGACCCCCCGACUCCGGAGGCGCAUCCAGCACGCGGUGCGGGCCCGGGUUCGCGUCGGUCCCGGCCGCUCUGCACGGAUUUUGAUACCGGUUUUGAUACUCUCCUCGCCCACGGGGCUUUUUGUAAACCCGCCCCCGGGGCCGCGCACCCCUCGUGCCCGGUGUUGGGCGCCGGCCGCCACCCGGGGCGAUGCGGGGCCGCCGCGAGCGGGGCUCGGGGGGAUGGUGGCACCCCGGGGCGGUGCCGUGCAGGACCAGCGCUGCACCCCGGGCGCUGUCCGUUGUUCUGUGCACCGGGGUCGGCAUCGCCCCUCUCCCCUCUGCGCCCCUCCGCCCCGCACAGACGGGAAAUAAAAGUUCUAUUUUUACAUCUCCGGGGCUGCGCUUCUGGGGGGGGAUUGCAGUGGGAUGGGGCCGAGCUGCGGGGCGGGGAGCGCGUGCGAGGCGGGGCAGCGGGGUUUCCGCGCGCCGCGGUCUCCAACCCGUUCCCUCCCGUCCCGGACCCCAUCCCAGGAUCGCAUCCCACAACAGCCCCGCGCCCCGGAGCGCUGCCGGGGGACUCUGGGACUACAAUUCCCAUGGUGCUCUGCGAGGGACAGGCAGUGACGCAGCGGAGCGCGGGUCACGUGAUACAGCGCGCCCCGCAGGAGGCGGAGACACGACGAGGCGGGACAAAGAUGAUUGGCAGUUGCGGCUGCCCGUGACCCGCAAGGCAGGAGCGGAAGUGGUGGACGGGUCCGGAAGCGGAACGGGUAAAGGCGGAAGUGAGGGCCGGGGCCUGCGAGACGCACCCGCGGCGGGGAGCGGCCCUGCGGGCGUUGCAACCUGCCUCCAGGUGGAUCCAGUGCAGAAUCUUCAGCAUCCUUAACUCUUGGCACUCCUGCACUUAGGCCACAAUGGCAGGUCGAGGUGGAGCUGCUCGACCGAAUGGACCAGCUGCUGGAAACAAAAUCUGUCAGUUCAAACUCGUCCUGUUGGGAGAGUCGGCGGUGGGGAAAUCCAGCCUUGUUCUGCGCUUUGUGAAGGGGCAGUUCCAUGAGUACCAGGAGAGCACGAUUGGAGCUGCCUUCCUAACGCAGACAGUCUGUCUGGAUGACACAACGGUGAAGUUUGAGAUAUGGGAUACGGCGGGGCAGGAGCGGUAUCACAGCCUGGCACCCAUGUACUACCGGGGUGCCCAGGCAGCCAUUGUUGUCUACGACAUCACUAACACAGACACAUUUGUACGAGCCAAGAACUGGGUGAAAGAGUUGCAGAGGCAGGCUAGCCCCAAUAUUGUAAUUGCACUAGCAGGAAACAAGGCAGACCUUGCUACCAAGAGAGCUGUGGACUUCCAGGAUGCACAAACAUAUGCAGAUGACAACAGCUUGCUGUUCAUGGAGACAUCAGCAAAGACAGCAAUGAAUGUGAAUGAAAUCUUCAUGGCAAUAGCCAAGAAACUGCCAAAAAAUGAACCCCAGAAUGCUCCAGGUGGUCCAGGCAGGAAUCGGGUGGUCGACCUUCAGGAGAGCAGUCAGCCCAGCAGGAGCCAGUGCUGCAGCAAUUGAGCAGCUGAUCUCACCUGACAGCCCUUGAAGGACGUGACUGGAAUCCAUGCUAACAAUCGCACUUACCGUAGAGCGGCUGCUGCCAGUGGCUGCUGUGAUUUCUCCAUCCCUUUCUGAUCAUAGGCUGGAGGGAGUUCUUCCACCUGCACCUUUCUGUACAAAUACUAAUUCAAUUCUAAGUCUUAAGUCACUUUUUUAAUAUAUGAACUUCUGCUCUUCCCUCUUCCUGGUGGUGGUGGAUGCAUGACCUGGUGUCUGCCCAGCCAGCUCAUCCCUUCCCACGGGUGAGGGCCAGCAGCACCCAGGUCCCACAGUACUGUAGUUCACUAUUGGAAACAAAGGGAUAUUGAGACUAGACAACCUUGUUUAAAGUUACCCACGUGUAAAAGCUAAGGCGAAUACCAGUACAAUAUGCCUAGAACAACCACUAAACUGUAGCAUUAUAGUGACAAACUCUGGCUCUUCAGCCACUUAUUGACCAAAUCAAUUAUGAGUAUUUUGGGGUGGGGCAGAGGGAAGAAAAACUGAUUUCUUCUGUAUUUUGUAUUGUAUGUUUCUUCAUGUAACCAAUCAGUAUCUUGUCAAUAUAGUACAUACAACUAGCUGCCUAUUGUCUUUAUUUGUGUUGGACUCUAGCAUGCCAACUUCUUUUCUAUCUCUGGUUCUGUCGUAAUGCACUAAUCCUGUUGCAACUUUUGCAAAAAAAAAAAAAGAAAUCUUGUAUAGAAAAUUGUCUUUUUUUGAUGGUUGUGAUGCCACUAAUGUUAACCCUACUCUGGUGUGAAUACACAUGGUUUACUGAUGUACAGAAGUGGGGCAGGGGAAACCUCGGAUAACCUGUCAGCGAAAACUAUGUAUUGCAAAAACCUGUAAUUCCACACAGU